rfam:Brachypodium distachyon strain Bd21 chromosome 3, whole genome shotgun sequence.
CAUAUACUCCUUCCGUCUAACAAAAGAUGUCUCAACUUUGACCAAAUUUGGAUGCAUCUAUACACGAAGUCAUGUUUAGAUACAUUCAAAUUUUGACACACUUGAGACAUAUUUUGUUGGACGGAGGAAGUACAAA